ensembl:lincRNA Gm26766 predicted gene, 26766
AAGACGGGAACUGCGGGGCCCUCGCCCGCCCCUCUGCUUCCCGCCCGCUCUCUCGGUGUCGUCUCAGCGUGUCCCCCUGCCCUUGCGGAAGUCAUUAAAACAUGAAACUUAAAGAGAACUAUCAUUGUCUUCAAAUUUAAGAUCUGGAAAAAAUAGAUGAAACACAUCUUUGAUAAAUUAUUUGGGGUAAAUGAAAAUCUGUAUGUGGCUUCAUCCACAGCUAUCAAAUGGCCAUCACAUGGGGUGCACUUGUGAUUUUUAAGAUGCCACAGCACUCGACUUGGUGCUAGGAAUCCGAACUCUGGUCCUCAUGAAUGUAUUUGUGUCCCUACCAGACUCUGGCAGAGGUCAAGAUGACAUCAAAGUUGGAAUUCAUCUGCCUCAGCCUUCCAAGUGAAGCAUGAAUUGAUGACUUGCCUCUGAAACCCUAAAUGAAGAAUGAUGACCGGGCCAGCUAAGUAUCCACCAGGCCAUCCAGGGCACUGACAAUCAUGAAGAAGUGCAAAUGCUGACUCCCACCUGGCUGCAGAGGAAUCAAAGCCCUUAGCUUUCUGGCCCCUCUCCAUUCCGGCAAGGUUCCUUCUCUUUCCACCCAAUCGCAGUCAUCAUUUAAAGAAGCCACUUCCCGUGUUUACAAAAGGUGCAUUUGGGUUAUCUCUACUUGAAUACCUGUUUUCACAUCUUCAAGCAAGAGGAAUCUUAUUGUUCCAGCAUGCUGGGGUUGCCCUGUACAUGAAGGAGAGAGAACGACCCCAUGCAGCCCGUUCGGCGAGUUUUAUACAGUUUUCAGAACAGCAGCCAUUAGGCACAAUGUGGUUGGCAGAACAGAGUGACUUUCAAGCUGAUUGGUCUUAGGGAAUGAGGUGGCAAGGACUUCCCUUGUCUGUAGGUGGCCAACAGUCUCGAAAUGUGUCUAUGUGCUCUGGGCCUCCUCCAUCCACAGGUGGCGAUGGUUGGUUCCUCACCCCUUCUGGAGGGGAGGGGUGCCUAUGUGCUUCUUGACCUUUCUCUAGGGAAGGGUCUGGUGGAAUUUUCCAAAGUUCCUGAGCUGACCUCUUCAGUGUAAACAGACCUAGUAUUGCUCUGUGUUGCAGUGACCCUGUACACACAGAUCUGGCUACCGACAGUAAUAUUAAACAUGGCACAUAACAAUACAUAGCACUUGACUGUUGUGUGUAAUUUUAUAAAACCACACUUGCUCCUUGCCCAGUGCUGUGGCUCCCUCUAUGCUAUGAGAUCAACCGCUGCCAACAGCCGUCUCACCCAACCCCCAUGGCUAGCUUUGCCAAACUGCUCCAUUUUCCAAGCUCUGCCAAGCCACCAGCUCUGCCACUUUCCCAUGGACUCUGGGAACUGCGAUCCCUCUUCACCGGCCAACCACCCUGAGGCUAGCUCUGCCAAACCUCUAACAACCACCCAGGCUGUGCCCUUUCUCCUGCCCACUUGAGUUACCACAGAUGGAAAACACUAGACAGCCUUAAUAUUUUAAAACCAGCCAGAUAACUCAACUGCUGGGUGCAGAGUCUGUUGCUCUAAAUGCAUCGGUUAUCCUAUCUGGGAAUUCCACUGAAGGCCGAGGCUGCCACUGGCUCUGGUUGCUCCCAGGCCAUAGUCCUAGUCUUUGCUCCCCGCUCCAAAGCCUGGCUGCAAAGCCCUUUCUCCAUCUCUUUCCUUCCUCUUCCUCCUGGGACCCAGAAGUCCCACCUUUUUUCCUCCGUCCAAUGAUUAGCUUCUGCUGUCUUUAUUGACAUAAUCAAGAAACAUUUAGUGAAAUUCCAGCACUUGGGAGGCAAAGGCUGGCCUCGAACUCAGAAAUCCGCCUGCCUCUGCCUCCCAAGUGCUGGGAUUAAAGGCGUACGCCACCACUGCCUGGCACUGUGCCAUGCUUUUGUUGUUAUUUUGAGAUGUAUGAAUGUUAGCUGAAUAUUGUUACUGGUUUAUGUAUCUACUAUUCUAUACUUUUUCUCACUCAGCUAUACUAAUUUAAGACAUUUAUUCUCAAACAGGAUGCUGUGUCCUGCAGCAUCCUCCUAGCUUGCAUUUGGUGUUCCUCCUGAUGGCAACAGGGGCCACGAGGAGUGACCAGCAUAUGUGAUCAAUGUAUGUAAAUGCAGCCUGGAGAAUGCAUAACAAGGGAACUGCCCUGGUGUAUGCUUCAUGGCUGCCUGUGAUUAAGUCAUACACGACUAGCUGACAGAAUGAGUCCUGGACAGGUCAGAGGAGGGAGCACUCCCAGAACCCGGAAAGGGGAGCACUCCCAGAACCCAGGAAGGGGAGCAGUAGCCAGCUGCUAGUCUGACAGGAGCCCACGACCAUCUGCCAGAGAGGAACAGCAUUCCCAGACACUGGUGCUGCUCCUGCAGCCUCCUCCCCUCCCUCUCCCAGCUCCUCCUAGCACCUCCUUCCACUUGAUACCAAUUGGAAGGGAAUCUGUUUGUACAGUCCGUGUGAGUCAGCCUUCCAAGGCUCACAGUGGGAUGAGAAACUCCCCCUCGGAGCUGGGGAGAUGCUCAGUGAAUCUGAGCACCCUUGUAAAAGUCAGACAUGGCCACAUGUGCCUAUAACCCCUGGGGACACAGACAGGCAGAUCCCAGGUCUUAGGUCCUGUGAGAGAAUCUGCUCCCAAUAAGCAGCAGGCAGGUAGUCUCAGCGUGACGUCCGAGCUGUAGAUGAGGCAGCGGACACACAGCUUGACAGUUUCCAUACAGACAGCAUCUGAAAUGGGGGUCCUUGGGGUUUCCAUCAGGAAGCAAAUAACCACGUCUAAUCAGCACUUAACAGUGUGUAAACAGCACUUCCAACCAACUGAAAGCUGCCAAGCGAUUUGUUCUCUUACGCAGUUUAUGCUUUCUCUGCUAUUCACUCAGCAAACAAAGAUAACACAGUGAUAACACUUGCUUUCCACUGUUCUCAAUUCAUUAUCUUCUCGAUCCAACUGAAUCUCAAUGAUACAAUUGAAUUAAAAGUCUUGUUUGCUUUCAGCAUGUCAAGUAACCUAUGAAAUGAUUUGAAACAAGUAAAUUUGUUUGUUUUCAUUCGCUGAAGAUACCGUAACAGAAUACCUCACAUGGAAAUACUUUAAAAAAAAAAAAUGUAUGUUUUCCCAUGGUUUUGGAGACCAGAAGUCCAGGAUCAAGAGGAAGGCUGCCCCUUCCCUCUGAAGGUGCAGAAGAUAAUGAGCUCCUUUGGCCUGAGGUGACACCUCUGAGGUGACACCCCUGGCUUGGAGCAGCAUGACUCCAAUCUGUACACAGCUCUCUGUAUGCAUGUUAUCUCAUCUUUUAUAGGAACUCCAGUCAUAGUGAACUAUGGCAUGUGAUGGCAAAUUCAUGGACCAGCCCCACUCCAUUUAAGAUUAAAAGCCAUCUUGUUACAAGUUCAUUUCUGUUUUCUGUAGAAUUUGGAUUUGGAUAGGUCUUGACCCAUAUUCUGGAGUUUGACAUGCUCCACCCUGAUACCCUGACCGCCACCCUGAUAAGAUGUUCUGUCAAAUAACUUUGCAAUGUUCUGCCGAGGUUCUAUGUACCCCAAAACCUUAAAAAACUCCCUAGCAUUGCAGUUUGGGGGACUAUAUCAGCUCCACUUUUUCCUAUGCUCAAUGUUAUUUUUCUCAAACCCCACUUUAGGGAGAUAGGCCUGUCUGACAGAAAAUAAAACUGUGUUUAUCUUGACAAAGG